UACAGAGGGGGCAAGCGUUGUUCGGAAUUACUGGGCGUAAAGGGCGCGUAGGCGGCCCGCUAAGUCGCACGUGAAAUCCCUGGGCUCAACCCAGGAACUGCGUCCGAUACUGGCAGGCUUGAAUCCGGGAGAGGGAUGCGGAAUUCCAGGUGUAGCGGUGAAAUGCGUAGAUAUCUGGAGGAACACCGGUGGCGAAGGCGGCAUCCUGGACCGGCAUUGACGCUGAGGCGCGAAAGCUAGGGGAGCAAACGGG
rnacentral:rRNA from 1 species